AUUGAACGCUGGCGGCAGGCCUAACACAUGCAAGUCGAGCGGAUGAAGGGAGCUUGCUCCUGGAUUCAGCGGCGGACGGGUGAGUAAUGCCUAGGAAUCUGCCUGGUAGUGGGGGAUAACGUCCGGAAACGGGCGCUAAUACCGCAUACGUCCUGAGGGAGAAAGUGGGGGAUCUUCGGACCUCACGCUAUCAGAUGAGCCUAGGUCGGAUUAGCUAGUUGGUGGGGUAAAGGCCUACCAAGGCGACGAUCCGUAACUGGUCUGAGAGGAUGAUCAGUCACACUGGAACUGGGACACGGUCCAGGCUCCUACGGGAGGCAGCAGUGGGGAAUAUUGGACAGUGGGCGGAAGCCUGGUCCAGCCAGGCCGCGUGUGUGAAGAAGGUCUUCGGAUUGUAAAGCACUUUAAGUUGGGAGGAAGGGCAGUAAGUUAAUACCUUGCUGUUUUGACGUUACCAACAGAAUAAGCACCGGCUAACUUCGUG
rnacentral:rRNA from 1 species